rnacentral:rRNA from 1 species
GAUUAUGGCUCAGGACGAACGCUGGCGGCGCGCCUAACACAUGCAAGUCGAACGGAGAGUGUGUUUGAAUCUUUCGGGAUGAAAAGUGCAUUUCUUAGUGGCGGACGGGUGAGUAACACGUGAGCAACCUGCCUUGCAGAGCGGGAUAACGGUUGGAAACGAUCGCUAAUACCGCAUAACAUAUGAUUGUCGCAUGGCUUUCAUAUCAAAGAUUUAUCGCUGCAGGAUGGGCUCGCGUCUGAUUAGAUAGUUGGUGGGGUAAUGGCCCACCAAGUCGACGAUCAGUAGCCGGACUGAGAGGUUGAACGGCCACAUUGGGACUGAGACACGGCCCAGACUCCUACGGGAGGCAGCAGUGGGGGAUAUUGCACAAUGGGGGGAAAAACCUCUGAUGCAGCGACGCCGCGUGAGGGAAGAAGGUUUUCGGAUUGUAAACCUCUGUCUUUGGGGACGAUAAUGACGGUACCCAAGGAGGAAGCUCCGGCUAACUACGUGCCAGCCGCGGC